rnacentral:rRNA from 1 species
CGUAACAAGGUUUCCGUAGGUGAACCUGCGGAAGGAUCAUUACCGAGUGAGGGCCCUCUGGGUCCAACCUCCCACCCGUGUUUAUUUUACCUUGUUGCUUCGGCGGGCCCGCCUUAACUGGCCGCCGGGGGGCUUACGCCCCCGGGCCCGCGCCCGCCGAAGACACCCUCGAACUCUGUCUGAAGAUUGUAGUCUGAGUGAAAAUAUAAAUUAUUUAAAACUUUCAACAACGGAUCUCUUGGUUCCGGCAUCGAUGAAGAACGCAGCGAAAUGCGAUACGUAAUGUGAAUUGCAAAUUCAGUGAAUCAUCGAGUCUUUGAACGCACAUUGCGCCCCCUGGUAUUCCGGGGGGCAUGCCUGUCCGAGCGUCAUUUCUGCCCUCAAGCACGGCUUGUGUGUUGGGCCCCGUCCUCCGAUCCCGGGGGACGGGCCCGAAAGGCAGCGGCGGCACCGCGUCCGGUCCUCGAGCGUAUGGGGCUUUGUCACCCGCUCUGUAGGCCCGGCCGGCGCUUGCCGAUCAACCCAAAUUUUUAUCCAGGUUGACCUCGGAUCAGGUAGGGAUACCCGCUGAACUUAA